rnacentral:rRNA from 1 species
GACAGAGGUGCCAAGCGUUAGGCGGAAUCACUGGGCUUAAAGCGUGUGUAGGCGGAUUUGUAAGUACCUUGUGAAAUCCCACGGCUCAACCGUGGAACUGCUCGGUAUACUGCUUAUCUUGAGCCACUUAGGGGCUACCGGAACAAAAUGGUGGAGCGGUGAAAUGCGUAGAUAUCAUUUGGAACGCCAAUGGUGAAAAACAGGUAGCUGGGAGUGUGCUGACGCUGAGACACGAAAGCCAGGGGGAGCGAACGGG